rnacentral:rRNA from 1 species
GACGAACCGUGCGAACGUUGUUCGGAAUCACUGGGCUUAAAGGGCGCGUAGGCGGGUCGAAAAGUCCGUGGUGAAAUCCCCCCGCUCAACGGGGGAACGGCCGCGGAUACUGUCGGCCUCGAGGGAGGUAGGGGCGAGCGGAACGCCGGGUGGAGCGGUGAAAUGCGUUGAUAUCCAGCGGAACUCCGGUGGCGAAGGCGGCUCGCUGGGCCUUCUCUGACGCUGAGGCGCGAAAGCCAGGGGAGCGAACGGG